GACGAGGGGUCCUAGCGUUGUUCGGAAUCAUUGGGCGUAAAGCGCAUGUAGGCGGCCAAAUAAGUCGGGUGUGAAAGCCCUGGGCUUAACCCAGGAAGUGCACUCGAUACUGCUUGGCUUGAAUAUGGGAGAGGGAUGCGGAAUUCCAGGUGUAGCGGUGAAAUGCGUAGAUAUCUGGAGGAACACCGGUGGCGAAGGCGGCAUCCUGGACCAAUUCUGACGCUGAGUGAGCGAAAGCCAGGGGAGCAAACGGG
rnacentral:rRNA from 1 species